UACGUAGGGGCCUAGCGUUGUCCGGAUUUAUUGGGCGUAAAGAGCUCGUAGGCGGUUCGGCAAGUCGGAUGUGAAAUCUCCACGCUCAACGUGGAGGGGCCAUUCGAAACUGCCGUGACUCGAGUCCGGUAGGGGAGUGUGGAAUUCCCGGUGUAGCGGUGAAAUGCGCAGAUAUCGGGAAGAACACCCGUGGCGAAGGCGGCUCUCUGGGACGGUACUGGACGCUGAGACGCGAAAGCGUGGGGAGCGAACAGG
rnacentral:rRNA from 1 species